rnacentral:ribozyme from 1 species
CGGUAAAACGGUAAAACGGUAAAACGGUGAGAUUUUAGGCUACGGAUUUUAAU